GACGAACGCUGGCGGCGCGCUUAACACAUGCAAGUCGAACGGAAAGGCCUGCUUUCCCUUGUGGAUUGCGGGUACUCGAGUGGCGAACGGGUGAGUAACACGUGAGUGAUCUGCCCCCAACUUGGGUAUAAGCCUGGGAAACUGGGUCUAAUUCCCGAUAGGACUGCAGGGUGGUGCCUGUGGUGGAAAACGAUUUUCUAGUGGUUGGGGAUGAGCUCGCGGCCUAUCAGCGUGUUGGUGGGGUAAUGGCCUACCAAGGCGGCGACGGGUAGCCGGCCUGAGAGGGUGGACGGCCACAUUGGGACUGAGAUACGGCCCAGACUCCUACGGGAGGCAGCAGUGGGGAAUAGUGCACAAUGGGCGGAAGCCUGAUGCAGCGACGCCGCGUGGGGGAUGACGGCCUUCGGGUUGUAAACUCCUUUCGACCGCGAGGAAGCCACCUGGUUGGAAGGGUGGUGACGGUAGUGGUAGAAGAAGCACCGGCUAACUACGUG
rnacentral:rRNA from 1 species